UGGCAGUGGAUUGUUCCUUUGUCUCUCUGAUCUUUCAGCAUUUACUCCAAUAUCUGGCUCUGUGUUUUUUAUUAAAAAGACCAUUUAGUAAUUUGAGCAAUACUGUAUGUCCAGAUUUAGCUUAUAUAUGCUCUCAAAGUUAAGCCAAAACAACAUUUGUCUAAUUUAGAUGUACCUUACGGAUUUUGUUCCCCUGAUCCUCAAACACCUUUAGAAAUAUGAGAAUAUGGUAUUUAAUAUAAAAGCUUUUUAUGAUAGAGAGACAUGUCUUCUCCUGGCAACAUCCUGUAUCUCCUCCAAGGAGACUUCCACCUGGAGACUAGCUUCAGGUGUGACAGGGCCAGCCACAGAGAAAGCUGCUUUGUACCUUGAACUGCUGCUGCUGCUGAGACCUGUCCAGACUGUGACUAAGAGGAGCAAUGGGGAUCCAUUGUCCACCCUGCUGAGACAGGUAGGUCGAGCUCCCCAAAUUUCUACUCCACAGGGAAAAAAAAAUCUAUCAGAUCUUCUGGGCUUGGCACCUAGCUAAGGCAAAUACUGCUUCUGGGGCUUGUGUCCCCCAAAGAGCACGGAAAGACUUGCUGCCUGGGCGGCUGGAAGACGGUCUCACUUCUGCUUAUUUACUUAUCCUCUCGUAUCUGAUGGUAUUUCAUGACCAGGAUACCAAUAGACUUGCCAGUUUUACAGCUCUCCCCAACCCCAAGGCUACAAGCACCUUGACAGCUCUUAGGAAGUUUCCUGUUAAAAGGACAGACAGGUGUGCCUCAUUCACAGACUCCAUACAGGAAAGACUGGUUUAUAAAUGCAGUUUUGAUAGACUGGUAGAGCACUGACCACAAACAGUGUUUAGGGGUCCUUAAAUUUCUUAAGGAUUCUUAACCCUUUUGCUAUGACACCAAGAUAGAAGUCUGUUGCAGCUGUUUUACAGACACCUGCAGGUUCCUGCACAGGUGCACCCCUCCUGCUAGACGUGUGCCAAGGCCAAUCCACAGGGGGCCCUCCAGAUACGGCAGCCCCUAUACCAGCUCCAAGGAUGCCGACCGGGAUGGAUUCACCUCAACCUCCUGGGAAACAGAAGAUGUGAUGGCUCCUGUACUCCUGGGACACAUCAUCCCUCGAUUUGGUGUGCCAUUUCCCCAAGCUCCUAGAACAUCAGUGCUGGUACCACCCCUCCAGACUCAAGGGCAUAUCUGCUCUUCUGUAUGGCUCAUUCGCCCUUGCCUCUUCUGGACAACCAGGCACAUCUCCAUUUCAUUCUUUCUGGCAGCCACGUCACUUUUCCCAUGGCUAACCCUGCACAUAGGGCAGAUGUUAGUAAUCUGUUUUUCCUAGCAACCUACCUUCUCCAGGCAGAACUGUAGCCGUAGCAAAAAGACCUGAGCAGGAUGCUUCUCCCAACUGCCCCUGACCUUAGCCCUAGUUAUAGAGAGAACCAUGUACACCUCCCCCACAGGGAAAGGCCAAUCAGAAAUGGACAAGCAACUCCAGAUGUCCUUCUGCUGAGAUUAAAAUGUUGCAACUCCCCUAGACCCAAAAUAGCCAAUCAGCUCAGUCCAGAUACCCCUAACAGGGCUUGAGCCAAUCCCAGGUCUGUAACUAUGCAGUUUUGGAAUCCUCCAAGCCCUCCUUAUCUAGCCACUAUAAAAGCCCUGACCCCAUGCUACUCGAGGUCUCUCCUGCUGUGUCACUUGGAUGGAGAAGCCCGAGUUAACUCAUAUUAAAGACUAUGUUUUUGCACCA